GCAGCUGGUCAGCAGGCUCUCGAUGGUCCCUCUAUAGAAGGUGGAGAGGAUGGGAGGGGAGAGGGAGGCUCUCCUCAUCCAUUGCAGGAAAUACAGACGCUGCUGAGCUCUCUUUGCCAGGGAGAGAUGUGUAGUGACCAGCUGAGGU